GAUGAACGCUGACAGAAUGCUUAACACAUGCAAGUCGACUUGAAUUUGGGUUUUUUUCUUAGGACUGGGUGGCGGACGGGCGAGUAACUCGUAAAGAACUUGUCUCACAUCUAGGGACAACAUUCGUAAACGAAUGCUAAUACCUACUAUUAUGAUACUAUAGCAUCCUAUAUUUAUGAAAACAAUAACCACUGCGAGAGAGCUUUGCGUACCAUUAGCUAGUUGGGGAGGUAACGGCUCACCAAGUCGACGAUGGGUAGCCGGCCUGGGAGGGUGAUCGGCCACAAGGGGAAUGAGAGACGGCCCUAACGACUACGGGGGGAAGGAGUAGGGAAUGAUGGACAAAGGACGAAGGGUCUGAUAAAGCAUUUCGGUGUGAACGAUGAAGUUUUUCGGAAGAUAAAGGGCUUGCAGUUAAGAAGAAAGAAGUGACGGUAACAACAGAAGAAGUGACGGCUAAAUACGUG
rnacentral:rRNA from 1 species